GUGAUCCUCCCGCCUCAGCCUCCUAAGUAGCUGGGACUACAGUUUAAUCAUUGGGAUACUGCUUCAGCAUUUUCUCCAAGAAGUUCAUUCACAAGGCUAGGCCAAGAGGGAGGCAGAGCAAGACAGCUGGAUAGAAGCCUCCACCAAUCACCCUGCUCACAGCAACACCAAAAUGAACAAUUAUCCAUAAAAAAAAAAGGAACUUAACAAGAACCAAAAGUCAGCACCUGAAAGCAGGGAGGAGACAGUACAGUGAGGAAAAGCAUCUGACAAGGCCAGCUGGGGCAGAGGAUGGGAAGGAUGGAGACACCUUGGUUUGGAAGGCUAGGAAGCAGGCAAAGACUGGCUGUCACUUCAAAUCACU